CCACUUACUUAACAGUAACACUGCCGUUUUCUUCCCGUUUAUUUCUUUUCCUUCUUUUAUUUUUCCCCUGUUCCAGACUAAGCCUUCCCACGAGAAAACCCCAAAACCCCAAAACUGUUUUCUUCUCUUUCUCUCUCUAAUCCCUUCUCUCUUGCUUAAAUUGGAUGCAAUGGACGAAUCUAGCUCUCUGAAUUCUCUAUCUUGCUCUGUUUUUGUAGAUUGGUUGGCUGGCACUAAGAAAAUUCGUUGAUGAUCAAGGAAGCUCUGUUGGCUUUGAAUGAAAGAAGUGGGUCGAGUCCAUAUGCUAUAGCAAAGUACAUGGAAGAGAAGCACAAGGAUGUGCUUCCUCUGAAUUGCAAGAAGAUUUUGGGCCUCCAAUUGAAGAACUCUGCUGUAAGAGGAAAGCUUAUCAAAAUCAAGGCUUCGUGUAAGCUAUCUGAAAUGGCUAAAGAGGAGAAGGUACAACUAUAAUAACCAAGGCUGUGAAGAAACUUGAUGCUGCUAAAAAGGCUACGAAGAAGGUCACGAAGAAAGUUGGGCCUAAGAAGACGAAGAAAUUGACUCCUACUUAGCCUAAACAACCCAAAUUGAUUAAGUCUCCUGCUACUAAGAGAGCCAAGAGGACUGUUGCUUGAGUUUGUAGAAAUUAGAUAAAAAUAAGUAGUGUUUGUUUUUUUGAAAAAGUUUAGGUCUGUGUAUAUGAAGUCUAUGGUUUUAAUGAAGUGUUCGGGUUUGCUUAGUCUUUUUUGUUUGUUUGUUUAGACAUCAAUGCUGAAUGGAACUGAUUUUUCUUUGCUUCCUCUGUGAAAUGGGUUGCUAAUUUUUUGAA